CACCUGGAGCAGCAGGGGGCAGCCUGUAGCUAGGAAUCCUCCACCAGGCCUGCAGAAUCACUAUGGUUCCUCCAGCCCUCCAUGGUCAACUGUGACUGUUUCUGAUCCAAGACAGAAAACAAGUGUGACGACAUCCAAAGAAGAUGUCCAUGGAGGAGGCAGCAGUGGGCUGGGGGGUCAGGUGCUCACAGAGAGCCCUCCUCAACAAUGGAUUCCAGCAGGGUGAACAGCAGGUCUGGGUCGGUGCUCCCCCGCUGCCAUCUCCCAGAGGAGUGCCCGAGCCCGGCUUCUGAAGGAAGAGGAGCGUCUGCCCCAGGGCCACGGAGAACACCGCACCUCUGAGGGUGAGGGCUGGCAAGUGGAGAGGGAGGAAGAACUCGGGGUCCCCAUGCUUGGUUUUCAGAGGUGUGAGGAUUAGACAAUGCCUGGUUCUCCAAUCCCUGGAGACACCCAGUCAUCAUCUGGGCCAUUUCCAAGUUUGCCACGCAUUAGUCGCACCCGUCACGUCUAGAAGGACCACGGCCCUUGCUCCCUCCCCUCCUCGGCCUAGUCUGAAUGUCCUCUCCAGCCCGGUCGAGGGGCGCUUCCUGUCCAGCGAGGGGAGAGAAGCCCCAGUUGCUUCGAGUUCUGGCUUGGGUUUUGGUGAUGGAUGGAUCAUCUCCCUCUCUCGUAUUUUCAAGUGGUUACCAGGCUGUGAUUUCCAGCCUCUUGCUUGACAGGACGCUGCGUCUGGAUUUAUUUUUGCAAGAAUUUCCAACCUUCUGUCCACACUGUCUGUAAUAAAAGUUACGAAAGACAUAUGUCUUUAAAAUGGCUUCCCCUUGGUUUUGGCAAACGUAGCCUCUUUCUGGAUCUCUCUAGAGGUCAUUAGCAACCCCUUCCCGGAGCCCCAGGUGCGGGGGGCGCAGUCACAGCGUAGAGGACUGAGUGACCUUGUAAGUUCCCGGAUCUUGCAGGUUCCUGGGGGCCUCUGACUCCAUCGCAGGCUGCUUCUUCUCCACUGCUGGUAGCUCUUCCUCCUCCCCGUCUAUAAUCAGCGGACAGUUCCCCUCACAAGCCCAGUGCCAGAUCUCCCGCCUCCUGCAGGUCACAGAGAUUCUCUGAGCCCGACACAGUCUUGCUCCAGGUAAGCCUGUCACACGCCUGCAUACGGGGACACAGGGACCUGAUCCUGCUUUCAGUUUUUGGACUGGCUAUUUUCCAGGACAGAGAAAAGGUGACCCCGAGUCUUUGUAAGAAAGGACGGAGAGUUUGGUGUCCAGAUCCACCAAGGGUUGGGAUCUGUGUUCUGCAGAAGGCGGAGGAGCGACGGCGCUGGGAACCGGGGUCCUGGUGGGGGUGAGAGGACCUUGGGGAGAGGUCAGGGUGGCCCCUGAGCUGUUUGUCCUGCUUUGUCAGCCCCCUGCUGUGCUGCUGGGGACAGCACACACGCACGUGUUUCCUGUUUUUAAUAUCGAUUGCCUAAUGAGAUGACAAAUCGCACCGGGCACAGCGUCUCUUCAAUGAGGAAGCAAAGCAAUUACGAGUUAGAUGACAUUGCUUCAGUGCCCCAAGCUGUGCGGGAUUCGUGUAAAUUGAAUGACAGUAAAGACCCCCACGCUGGCUUUGCAUACGGCCUGUCACAUCCUGUGGGGAGGGAACGCCACGGUCACCAGGACCUUCUCGGCUUCAAAUGUCAAAAAUGACAAAGGGACCCUGCUUCCCUCCUUCAUAAUGGUCAUCUGUCACCAGCUGGUGGCGGAGGAGCAGGCUGGGGCUGCUCGUUUGCCUCAUCUGCUGGAGAAGACACCAUCAGGAUGGCUGAAUACACAGAUGUGGAUCCCACAGGUUUGGAGGGCUGGUGGUAUUUGACUUCUGGGCUCAAAUGCAACCCAAUCAGCCAAUCAAGCCCAAGGUUUCAGCAAAAAGGUUUUGAUUAUAAGAUAUACCGAUUUUUAAAAAGCACUUGAUUUCUUCUGCCCUAGAAGACAUUCUAUUAAUGUCAUUGAGUGCACAGGUGCGCUAAAAGCAUUUGAUAAAAUUUAACAUCCACUUAUGAGUUUUUUUUAAAAGGAAAGUCAGCACACAAGAGUUAUAAGAAAACUUUAAUAUAAUAAAAAAAUCUGUUAAAAAACCAACUUCAGAUAUCAUCUUAAUGGUGAGACCUUAAAAUAAUUCCUAUUGGAACUCAGGGGAAAAGAGAAGCCGAGGGUACCCACCCCCAUAGUACAAUUUAACGUGGUACAAAAUGUUCCAGCCACAGGAGUAAGAACAGGAAAAGGACGUGUUAGAGAUUGGCAGCGGGGGACAGAGAGUUUUUGUUUGUUCUUUAUUUCACAUGUUAAGAGUUGAGGCCGAGGGCUGGGGUCGUGGCUCAGAGAAACAGCACUUGCCUAUCAAGAGUGAGGCCCUGGGUUGGAUCCUCAGCACCACAUAACAAAAUAAAAUAAAUAUAUUGUGUCCACCUACAACUAAAAAAUAAAUGUUUAAAAAAUACUCAAAAAUACAGAGCAUUAGAAUUAAUCUGACUUAAGUAAGAUAAUAGUUUAAAUUCCAAAAAAAUUGCAUUUCCAUACACUUUGUGUCAGUUAUAAAAUGUUAUUUAGAAUAAAAAUACCAUUUAUGGCAGCAACAAAACAAAACAAACAAGAAUAAACUCAGCUCCUUAGACAUAACAAAGAUAUGCAAGAUUUUUAUAGAGGAAAAUGGUAAAAUUUACUGAUAUUCAGGAAAACCUAGAGAUACGUCUGGUUUAUGGAUAGAAAGACCCAAUAUCAUGAAGGUGUUUAUUCUCUUAAAAGUGAUCCAAGGGUUUAAUGUAAUUCUAAUUUUAAAACCCUAAAAAGGAUUUUUUCUGUAAACUCAACAAGAUGACUCUAAAAUUUUCUGGAAGAACCUGAAA